rnacentral:rRNA from 1 species
GUAGGUGGCAAGCGUUGUCCGGAAUUAUUGGGCGUAAAGCGCGCGCAGGCGGGUUCUUUAAGUCUGAUGUGAAAGCCCACGGGCUCAACCGUGGAGGGUCAUUGGAAACUGGAGAACUUGAGUACAGAAGAGGAAAGCGGAAUUCCACGUGUAGCGGUGAAAUGCGUAGAGAUGUGGAGGAACACCAGUGGCGAAGGCGGCUUUCUGGUCUGUAACUGACGCUGAGGCGCGAAAGCGUGGGGGGCAAACAGGAUUAGAUACCCUGGUAGUCCACGCCGUAAACGAUGAGUGCUAAGUGUUAGGGGGUUUCCGCCCCUUAGUGCUGCAGCUAACGCAUUAAGCACUCCGCCUGGGGAGUACGGCCGCAAAGGCUG